GUUUGUGUGAUGGGAAAGGAAGCUGGGCUGCAUGAAAUUUCUGGUAGUGGACGGGUUGGUAAAGGACAUAUGAUUGAUUUUCUUUCCAACUCCGCCCAUUCCGGUGAUUUCCUGCGCUUGCUCCCUUUCCCUUCUCUCAUCUUUACCUACUUUGCCGUCUACUCUACUAACUCUACUAAUCUAUGAGAGGAAUGAGGGAAAGGCUGAGAGUGUUGAUGCAAGUUUUUGGAUCUGAAGGUCUUGGAAAGGAUCAGUUUUCAUUUCUGAGAAAUUCUUUCCGAAACCUCCAAUUCCAAUCAUUUGCAUCUCCUUCUCCCUUUCCCAUAGAUAUCCUUCAUUUCUGACUUCAUUUUGGCUAAGGUUCUUCUUUCCUUUUUUAUUAUGAUUUCUGUAUAUUCGUAUGAUUGAUUUUGAUCUCUGGAUUUUAUUCACCCUUUUUUUUUUUAAAUCUUCGUGUCUUCUGUUAGAAAGCAGAUCAGUAAAUGCUUACUGAUGUUUAUUCCUGAGAAAUCAUUUGUGAUGUGAUAUUCCCCUCAUUUUCACCUUAAUUGAUUCCCAUUCAAUUUCUCUAUGCAGAAAUGCAGAUUGAUUAUUCAAAGAAAGUGUUGGGAUUUAAGCAAUAUAUUCUGGAUCCGUUUUGUUUCUCAAGAGAUGCAAUGGUUUUAUAUAAAAAGUGUUAAAUUUUAAAGACAGAUACACAUUCGCGCACUAUUAAUUAUAGCUCCUUGUUAAUAAAUCUUGCAAUAAUAGAUUUCAUGUGAAGCAUGUGCUUGUUAUUGAUCUUGUUUUGUGAACAAUAACCACAGAAAAGUUGGAGAGAAUCUCGUGGAGAAUAGAAAAAAGCAGAUGGAGGCUGGUCAGGAGUUUGCCAAGCUAAGUCCAAAGAAAGGGAUUCUCAGCACUGAGGUUGAUUGCCUGUCUUAUGAGAUAUGGAGCUCCGUUAUGUGUAUUUCAGGCUUAGCUUAAUAGUUAUUAGUAGAAGUGCAGAUACAGCAUGUUAUUGUACCUCCAAAGCAGCAAAGCUUCUGCACCACAGUCCACACACUUAAUGUUCUGUUUUAUUCAUUAUAUUGUUAGUAUCCAUUGAUUUUAGAGUAAAAAAUUUUAUUCAUUGAAUCAAAAAUUUUU
rnacentral:misc_RNA from 1 species